AUUGAACGCUGGCGGAAUGCUUCACACAUGCAAGUCGAACGGCAGCACGGACUUCGGUCUGGUGGCGAGUGGCGAACGGGUGAGUAAUGUAUCGGAACGUGCCCAGUCGUGGGGGAUAACGUAGUGAAAAUUACGCUAAUACCGCAUACGAUCUAUGGAUGAAAGCGGGGGAUCGCAAGACCUCGCGCGAUUGGAGCGGCCGAUAUCAGAUUAGGUAGUUGGUGGGGUAAAGGCCCACCAAGCCAACGAUCUGUAGCUGGUCUGAGAGGACGACCAGCCGCACUGGAACUGAGACACGGUCCAGACUCCUACGGGAGGCAGCAGUGGGGAAUUUUGGACAAUGGGCGAAAGCCUGGUCCAGCCAUACCGCGUGCAGGAUGAAGGCCCUAGGGUUGUAAACUGCUUUUGUAAAGAACGAAAAGGUUUCUACUAAUACUAGGAGCUCAUGACGGUACUGUAAGAAUAAGCACCGGCUAACUACGUGCCAGCAGCCGCCGUAA
rnacentral:rRNA from 1 species